rnacentral:rRNA from 1 species
UACGGAGGGUGCGAGCGUUGUCCGGAAUCACUGGGCGUAAAGGGCGCGUAGGUGGCGCGGAAAGUCAACGGUGAAAGUUCGGGGCUCAACCCUGAAUCGGCCGUCGAUACUGCUGCGCUUGAGCACUGUAGAGGCAGAUGGAAUUCCGGGUGUAGCGGUGAAAUGCGCAGAUAUCGGGAAGAACACCCGUGGCGAAGGCAGCCCCUGGGUUACACUGACGCUCAGGCACGAAAGCGUGGGAGCAAACAGG